rnacentral:rRNA from 1 species
UACGUAGGGUGCAAGCGUUUGUCCGGAAUUAUUGGGCGUAAAGAGCUCGUAGGCGGUUUGUCACGUCUGCUGUGAAAACUGGAGGCUCAACCUCCAGCCUGCAGUGGGUACGGGCAGACUAGAGUGCGGUAGGGGAGAUUGGAAUUCCUGGUGUAGCGGUGGAAUGCGCAGAUAUCAGGAGGAACACCGAUGGCGAAGGCAGAUCUCUGGGCCGUAACUGACGCUGAGGAGCGAAAGCGUGGGGAGCAAACAGG